rnacentral:rRNA from 1 species
CGAACGGGUGAGUAAUGCGUGACCAACCUGCCCCAUGCUCCAGAAUAGCUCUUGGAAACGGGUGGUAAUGCUGGAUGCUCCAACUUGACGCAUGUCUUGUUGGGAAAGUGUUUAGUGGCAUGGGAUGGGGUCGCGUCCUAUCAGCUUGUAGGCGGGGUAAUGGCCCACCUAGGCUUCGACGGGUAGCCGGCCUGAGAGGGCGGACGGCCACAUUGGGAACUGAGAUACGGCCCAGACUCCUACGGGAGGCAGCAGCC